GACGAACGCUGGCGGCGUGCUUAACACAUGCAAGUCGAACGAUGAAGCUGGAGCUUGCUCCGGUGGAUUAGUGGCGAACGGGUGAGUAACACGUGAGCAAUCUGCCCUUGACUCUGGGAUAACUGCGGGAAACUGUAGCUAAUACCGGAUAUUUUCCCUGGUGGGCAUCCACUGGGGAAGAAAGAAUUUCGGUCAAGGAUGAGCUCGCGGCCUAUCAGCUAGUUGGUGAGGUAAUGGCUCACCAAGGCGACGACGGGUAGCCGGCCUGAGAGGGUGACCGGCCACACUGGAACUGAGACACGGUCCAGACUCCUACGGGAGGCAGCAGUGGGGAAUAUUGCACAAUGGGCGAAAGCCUGAUGCAGCAACGCCGCGUGAGGGGACGAAGGGCCCUUCGGGUUGGUAAACCUCUUUUAGCAGGGAAGAAGCGAAAGUGACGGUACCUGCAGAAAAGCACCGGCUAACUACGUG
rnacentral:rRNA from 1 species